rnacentral:rRNA from 1 species
AUACGGAGGAUCCAAGCGUUAUCCGGAUUUAUUGGGUUUAAAGGGAGCGUAGGUUGACAUAUAAGUCAGCUGUGAAAGUUUACGGCUCAACCGUGAAAUUGCAGUUGAUACUGUAUGUCUUGAGUGUACAAGAGGUGGGCGGAAUUCGUGGCGUAGCGGUGAAAUGCUUAGAUAUCACGAAGAACUCCAAUUGCGAAGGCAGCUCACUGGGGUACAACUGACACUGAGGCUCGAAAGUGUGGGUAUCAAACAGGAUUAGAUACCCUGGUAGUCCACACAGUAAACGAUGAAUACUCGCUGUUUGCGAUAUACAGUAAGCGGCCAAGCGAAAGCAUUAAGUAUUCCGCCUGGGGAGUACGACCGCAAGGUUGAA